rnacentral:rRNA from 1 species
UACGGGGGGGGCAAGCGUUGUUCGGAAUUACUGGGCGUAAAGGGCUCGUAGGCGGCCAACUAAGUCAGACGUGAAAUCCCCAGGCUCAACCUGGGAACUGCGUCUGAUACUGGAUGGCUUGAAUUCGGGAGAGGAAUGCAGAAUUCCAGGUGUAGCGGUGAAAUGCGUAGAUAUCUGGAGGAAUACCGGUGGCGAAGGCGGCAUCCUGGACCGACAUUGACGCUGAUGAGCGAAAGCUAGGGGAGCAAACGGG